GGUCCUGUAGUGUAACGGUAUCACAUGGGACUCUGAAUCCCGUGACCCAGGUUCGACUCCUGGCAGGACCACUA
rnacentral:tRNA from 1 species